CCUACGGGUGGCAGCAGUGAGGAAUAUUGGUCAAUGGACGCAAGUCUGAACCAGCCAUGCCGCGUGCAGGAAGACGGCUCUAUGAGUUGUAAACUUCUUUUGUACGAGGGUAAAUUCCGAUAUGUGUAUUGGUUUGCAAGUAUCUUAUGAAUAAGGAUCGGCUAACUCCGUGCCAGCAGCCGCGGUAAUACGGAGGAUUCAAGCGUUAUCCGGAUUUAUUGGGUUUAAAGGGUGCGUAGGCGGUUCGAUAAGUUAGAGGUGAAAUCGCGGGGCUCAACUGCGGCAGUGCCUCUGAUACUGUCGGGCUAGAGUAUAGUAGAGGUAGGCGGAAUGUAUGGUGUAGCGGUGAAAUGCAUAGAGAUCAUACAGAACACCGAUUGCGAAGGCAGCUUACCGAACUACAACUGACGUUGAGGCACGAAAGCGUGGGGAGCAAACAGGAUUAGAUACCCGUGUAGUC
rnacentral:rRNA from 1 species